rnacentral:rRNA from 1 species
UACGUAGGUGGCAAGCGUUGUCCGGAUUUACUGGGCGUAAAGGGCGUGCAGGCGGUUUGUUAAGUGCAGGGUGAAAGCUCCCGGCUCAACUGGGAGAGGUCCUUGCAUACUGGCAGACUUGAGGGAGGCAGAGGAAAGUGGAAUUCCCGGUGUAGUGGUGAUAUGCGUAGAUAUCGGGAGGAACACCUGUGGCGAAGGCGGCUUUCUGGGCCGAUACUGACGCUGAGGAGCGAAAGCAUGGGUAGCGAACAGG